rnacentral:rRNA from 1 species
CUCCNANGUCAGCUUUNCAACGGGUGANUACGCGUGGAUGACCUGCCCUUUAGUGGGGAACAACCAGGGGAAACUCUGGCUAAUACCGCAUAAGACCGAAAGGUGAAAGGGGGCCGCAAGGCUCUCGCUGAAGGAGGGGUCCGCGUCCGAUUAGCUAGUUGGUAGGGUAAUGGCCUACCAAGGCGACGAUCGGUAGCCGGCCUGAGAGGGUGAUCGGCCACACUGGAACUGAGACACGGUCCAGACUCCUACGGGAGGCAGUAGUGGGGAAUUUUGCGCAAUGGGCAAACGCCUGACGCAGCAACGCCGCGUGGAGGAUGAAGGUCUUUGGAUUGUAAACUCCUGUCAGCGGGGAAAAAGGGACCUGGGCUAAUACCCUAGGGACUUGAUUGUACCCGCAGAGGAAGCCCCGGCUAACUCUGUGCCAGCAGCCGCGGUAAUACAGAGGGGGCAAGCGUUAUUCGGAAUUAUNGGGCGUAAAGGGCGCGUANGCGGCUUUGCAAGUGGCGGGUGAAAUCCCUCGGCUUAACCGAGGAACUGCCUGCCAAACUGUGAGGCUUGAAACCGGGAGAAGUGAGUGGAAUUCCCAGUGUACNGUUAAAUGCGUAAAUAUNGGNAGAACCCCAGUGNCGAGGCNGCUCACUGGACCGAACUGACCUGAAGC